UACGUAGGGGGCAAGCGUUGUCCGGAAUCAUUGGGCGUAAAGCGCGUGUAGGCGGCCCGGUAAGUCCGCUGUGAAAGUCCAGGGCUCAACCCUGGGAUGCCGGUGGAUACUGUCGGGCUCGAGUCCGGAAGAGGCGAGUGGAAUUCCUGGUGUAGCGGUGAAAUGCGCAGAUAUCAGGAGGAACACCGAUGGCGAAGGCAGCUCGCUGGGAUGUGACUGACGCUGAGACGCGAAAGCGUGGGGAGCAAACAGG
rnacentral:rRNA from 1 species